AACCCGCUCGCCGGAAGCCCAAGGUUUCCUGAGGAAGGUUAAUCCGCUCAGGGUUAGUCGGCCCCUAAGCCGAGGCCGAAAGGCGUAGGUGAUGGGAAACGGGUUAAUAUUCCCGUACCACCCGAUUGGCGUUUGAGUGAUGGGGGGACGCAGAAGGGUAGGCCAUCCGGGUGUUGGACGUCCCGGUUCAAGCCCGUAGGCGGACCCGGCAGGCAAAUCCACUGGGUCGUUAACGCCGAGAGGUGAUGAGGAUCCGCUAUGCGGAGCAAACUGGCUGAUCCCAUGCUGCCAAGAAAAGCCUCUAGCGAGUCAAUCGGGUGACCGUACCGCAAACCGACACAGGUGGGCAGGGAGAGAAUCCCGAGGCGCUUGAGAGAACCCUCGUCAAGGAACUCGGCAAAAUGGCACCGUAACUUCGGGAGAAGGUGUGCCCCCAUUAGGUGUAGUAACUCGCUUACGAAGCCGAAGGGGGUUGCAGUGACCAGGCUGUGGCGACUGUUUACUAAAAACACAGGACUCUGCUAAGUCGCAAGACGACGUAUAGGGUCUGACGCCUGCCCGGUGCUGGAAGGUUAAGGUGAACCGUUAUCUCCGCUUCGGCGGGGAGAAGCGGUGACCCGAAGCCCCAGUAAACGGCGGCCGUAACUAUAACGGUCCUAAGGUAGCGAAAUUCCUUGUCGGGUAAGUUCCGACCUGCACGAAUGGCGUAACGACUGCAGCGCUGUCUCGACGAGGGACUCAGUGAAAUUGCAGUGGCGGUGAUGAUACCGUCUACCCGCGGCAAGACGGAAAGACCCCGUGCACCUUUACUACAGCUUGACAGUGAAUUUCGGUAUGGCUUGUGUAGGAUAGGUGGGAGGCUAGGAAGUCUCGACGCCAGUCGGGAUGGAGCCGUCCUUGAAAUACCACCCUGGUCAUGCUGGAAUUCUAACUCGCGGCCGUGAAUCCGGUCGGAGGACACUGUCUGGCGGGUAGUUUGACUGGGGCGGUCGCCUCCUAAAGAGUAACGGAGGCGCGCGAAGGUCCCCUCAGGCUGAUUGGAAACCAGCCGGAGAGUGCAAAGGCAUAAGGGGGCUUGACUGCGAGAGAGACAUCUCGAGCAGGUGGGAAACCAGGUCUUAGUGAUCCGGCGGUUCCGUAUGGAAGGGCCGUCGCUCAACGGAUAAAAGGUACGCCGGGGAUAACAGGCUUAUCGGGCCCAAGAGUUCACAUCGACGGCCCGGUUUGGCACCUCGAUGUCGGCUCAUCGCAUCCUGGGGCUGGAGUAGGUCCCAAGGGUUUGGCUGUUCGCCAAUUAAAGCGGUACGCGAGCUGGGUUUAGAACGUCGUGAGACAGUUCGGUCCCUAUCUGCCGUGGGCGUAGGAUAUUUGAGGGGUGCUGUCCCUAGUACGAGAGGACCGGGAUGGACGAACCUCUGGUGUACCAGUUGUCGCGCCAGCGGCACAGCUGGGUAGCUAUGUUCGGACGGGAUAACCGCUGAAAGCAUCUAAGCGGGAAGCCCACCCCAAGAUAAGAUAUCCCUUCCCCGCUUCGGCGGGGACUGAAGACCCCUCGAAGACGACGAGGUUGAUAGGCCGGGUGUGUAAGUCCAGCAAUGGAUUGAGCUAACCGGUACUAAUCGGUCGUGAGGCUUGACCAC
rnacentral:rRNA from 1 species